rnacentral:rRNA from 1 species
AUGACUAUAGCCCUUGGUAGAAUUCCUAAAGAAGAAAAUGAUCUAUUUGAUACAAUGGAUGACUGGUUACAAAGGGAAUGUUCCGUUUUUGUAGGAUGGUCUGGACUAUUGCUCUUUCCUUGUGCUUAUUUCGAUUUAGGGGGUUGGUUUACAGGGACAACUUUUGUAACUUCUUGGUAUACCCAUGGAUCGGCUAGUUCCUAUUUGGAAGGUUGUAAUUUCUUAACCGCAGCAGUUUCUACCCCUGUCAAUAGUUUAGCACACUCGUUGUUGCUACUAUGGGGGCCCGAAGCACAAGGAGAUUUUACUUGUUGGUGUCAAUUAGGCGGUCUAUGGACUUUUGUAUCUCUCCACGGGGCUUUUGCACUAAUACGUUUCAUGUUACGCCAAUUUGAACUUGCUUGGUCUGUUCAAUUGCGGCCUUAUAAUGCAAUCUCAUUCUCUAGUCCAAUCGCUGUUUUUGUUUCUGUAUUCCUUAUUUAUCCAUUGUAG